ensembl:misc_RNA Metazoa_SRP Metazoan signal recognition particle RNA
GCUGGGUGCAGUGGUGCACGCUGUAAUCCCAGCUACUCGGGAGGUGACGUGGGAGGAUUACUUGAGCCCAGAAGUCUAGGGCUGUAAUGCGCGAUGCCCGUCAGGCGUUUGCACUAAGUUCAGCCCCUGUAGAGUGACCUUUCAGGAGGGCAGAACCACCAGGUUGCCUAAGGAUGGGUGAAACCUGCCCAGGUUAGAAACAGAGCAGGUCAGAAUUCCCAUGCUGAUCAGCAGUGGGAUAGCACCUGUGAACAGCCCCUGCACUCCAGCCUGAACAAGACAGCGGGAACCUGUCCCUA